UACGUAGGGGGCAAGCGUUGUCCGGAAUUAUUGGGCGUAAAGAGCGCGUAGGCGGUCCGAUAAGUCGGCUGUGAAAGUCAAGGGCUCAACCCUUGGAAGCCGGCCGAUACUGUCGGACUAGAGUCCGGAAGAGGCGAGUGGAAUUCCCGGUGUAGCGGUGAAAUGCGCAGAUAUCAGGAGGAACACCGAUGGCGAAGGCAGGUCUCUGGGCCACUACUGACGCUGAGAAGCGAAAGCAUGGGUAGCAAACAGG
rnacentral:rRNA from 1 species